UGCUCGGUGUCAGCAUGACAUACUUCCCAGGGAGGAGGGUAGACAGAGGGUUGGCACGCUUGCUUACCUGUUAUGAUUUUUCCUUGGACCUAGGAUCCAUCUUGAUGGGCACUUAGCUCUGCCUUGUGGAUCAAAUAUCAGCAUUCUCACCUGCAAAGACGCUUGACCAGGCCACUCUCCAUUCUUUCAUCGCUGAUCUCCCUGUUCUGCAAUCCAGCUAACUGCCCCCAAGCCUACCUCUCCGCUCACCUCGAGCAAACUUCCUCACUUCUUCCCCCCUCUUUUCCACAACUGAACCGGCUCUCAGGCUGCUCCGGAUGUUGGGGAUACCGAGUUCUUUCCCUUGGGUCAUUCAAACACCGCCUGACCAUUAUCCCCCCAGGCCCAUACCCUGGACGUCUUUACCGACUACCCGACUGACCCCUCCCUGCACAUUACCCCUUCCCCACUGCUAAUGAAGGGUGAAUUUUAGAGCUGGAACCUGCUAUCUGUUCAAUGUUGGUAUAGCUGUGCAA